rnacentral:tRNA from 1 species
GGAAGAGUGGCCGAGUGGUUGAAGGCACCGGUCUUGAAAACCGGCAGGCGGGUAACCGUCUCGUGGGUUCGAAUCCCACCUCUUCCGCCA